CAGAGGGUAGUUUAAUUUAGAAUCUU
rnacentral:tRNA from 2 species